CUCCCUCUCAUUUCCUGUCCCACUCUUCACUAAUCUAUCAAUUAAAGGCAUAAAAAGCCCAAAAACAAAUCUUAAAAAAAAAAAAAAAAAAAUUCUGUUUGUUUGUUUGUUUGUUUGUUACAGCACAACAGCUAUUAUGCAUGACCUGUGCUGUGUCGUUGUUCAUGAUACUACUAUCACAGUGAAACUCAGCUGUCAUACAUAUCACGUGCUUUGAAGUUUCUGAUCCAGGACCUGAAGUGUCUGUGCCUGAUCCAGAACCUGAAGUGUCCGUGCCUGAUCCAGGACCUGAAGCGUCCGUGCCUGAUCCAGGACCUGAAGUGUCUGUGCCUGAUCCAGGACGUCCCCAAUGGUGGAGUACCCAGUGGCAUCCUCCACUUGUGCCUCCUCGCUGUGGCUUCUGGAUAGUUUUACUGGUAUGAAGUCCGUGUAUACAUAAGGCAGCUGGACUGCCUCUGACGAGUUUGGCUGUGGAAUAUAUAUUUGCACUUCUGAGGUCAUGGUCAACGUAAUAAUAGAUAGAAAUAAUAACAACUUGUUUAGAUCACUUAUUUAAUUAAUUGUUAAUGUAAUUAUGUAUGACAGCUUUAUGUUUCAAAUAUCACAUUAUCUUUUUCAAAACGUUAUUGUCAUAUUAUUUAGUUAUAUGCCAUUUUUUCAAAAUGAUUUACCUGUACAUUGUUGAGUUCAUCAUAUACAUGGCGCUCUGCAGCAUAUGAACAAGUAGUUUAGUGAUAUUAUGAGGACAUUAUGAUGCUGCAUUAUUUUUUCAGGUAUUAGGAUGGAUGGAAUUAUUUUAGUACUACCUUCCAUCGCAGCAUCGUUUGGUCCUGUGUCUCCUACAAAAGGUUAUAAUCACAGCUAUAAUCACAACAAACCUUUCAUGGCAGGCCCCCCUUUGACAAUGAGAAAAUAUGUGCGCCACCCCCACAACACCACACUGCAAAGAUUGAGAUGCUUAUAUAGCCUAUUACCUGUUUUUAAUUAAAAAGUUUUCAUUUUCAACAUUUUCCAUAGAAUUUCAUCAAUCAGAUAAACUGUUAAGAACAAACAGCUGUUGCAUAGCUUUUCUUUAACAUUGUUUCUACAUUUGAACAGUUAAACAUUUCAUUAGAGUUCUUGUUUAAAACAGAUCAAAUCUGGCCUGAUCAUAUGAUUUUAUGAUUGGCUAUGUAUUGUUCCUUUUUUUUGGAUUGGUUUAGCGUAUGUCCGUCGUAUUAGCAAUCAGGCUAGCUAUCUCUUCUAACAUGUAGGCUAUUCAGUAGGCCCUGACCAUAUGACAUAGGUACAGAGUAGGCUAUAAACUCACCAAAUAUCCAAGUAGGUAAGUUAGAGGAUAGUAUGCUGUAAGAGUACUACCAUACUUAAUUGGACCAAUAGUUGGUCGUUUAGUCUUUUCGCCGUAACCAUAGCAAUACAAUAAGGUGCCGUGAGCAACAUAAAGAUACAAAUCUUUUUUUAGCUUAGGUUGAGCUGUUGCUGGAAAAAUAUUCACACCAUUUAUGUCAGAUUUGCCAAAAUAACUGCCCGGGGGGUUUUGACAACUUCUCACAACUUAUCUUAUUUCUCAGUAUUACCACACACACACACACACACACACACAAAAACAGUAAUUGAAUUUCUGCAGCUGUGAACAGUCAAUAAGGUGUGUAAUGGACUACACACAACAAGAUUAUGUUGGAUUGGACUGCACAACACUUUGGGAACCACUGGUGUAUGGUAACGUACAUUUGGAAAACAACUUUGGACAAGCAGGUUUUCAUCAUUACCUAUGUCUUCUGGAGUCCGUGAUUUAUUGCAGCAGGUACCUGGAGGUGUGGAGUAAAAACCGCUUCAGUACAAUCUGGAAAUGAUUCCCAGCAAACAUGCCCAUGCAGAACAUAAGGGCUGGAGCAAAAUAAAGUAAGGACUUUUCUCCAUGGCCGUCGACCAUGGGAAUACCGGGAGGUGCACAGUAGACAUCCCUCUGUGCAUUGACACAGACAUUGCAGCCUUUUUCUAUUGUUGGCCUAAAACACUCUGAGCAUGGUGUGUAACUGACACACUAGCAUUUCCCCUAAGCACAGUUAGCCUCCAAUGCUCAUAUUAUAGAUUCCUCUGCUGUGCUGUGCUGGAAACAUUGCAUCCAGCACAGUUGCCAUACUUACUGGGCUGAUUCACAAAGGUACUACUAUCAGAAUAGUAAGAACUGUUUAAAUUCAUACCAGCGCACCCUUUUAGAUGAACUGUAAUGCGUUACCUGCAAAGUACUUCUUGAUGCAGAUAGGAAUGAUGCACAAACCAAGCACACAAAUCACAGCUGACUUAAUCCAAAUUGAAAUUCCAUUUCCAUGUCCAAUGUCCGGGUCUUUUUUACAUAUUGCACCUGUUUGGAUAGUUAUAAUAACACAACAACUGUUAUCUUUCUCUAACAUACAUAACUAAUUGUCAUUACUAAUCAAUUCAUUUUUAAGAACAACAUUCAAACCUUUCUUCAAUCCAGAGUCUGCUAAUGAGGGAGGAUUAAAGGCAAAAGCGUCUGUCUUACCGUUAAUGUUAACAUGAGCUUCUGAACUUCCCCCUUCACUCG
ensembl:lncRNA